rnacentral:rRNA from 1 species
AGGGAUGGAGGCCUUCGGGUUGUGAACCUCUUUCGCCAGUGAAGCAGGCCUGCCUCUUUUUGUGGGUGGGUUGACGGUAGCUGGAUAAGAAGCGCCGGCUAACUACGUGCCAGCAGCCGCGGUAAUACGUAGGGCGCGAGCGUUGUCCGGAAUUAUUGGGCGUAAAGAGCUCGUAGGCGGCUGGUCGCGUCUGUCGUGAAAUCCUCUGGCUUAACUGGGGGCUUGCGGUGGGUACGGGCCGGCUUGAGUGCGGUAGGGGAGACUGGAACUCCUGGUGUAGCGGUGGAAUGCGCAGAUAUCAGGAAGAACACCGGUGGCGAAGGCGGGUCUCUGGGCCGUUACUGACGCUGAGGAGCGAAAGCGUGGGGAGCGAACAGGAUUAGAUACCCUGGUAGUCCACGCCGUAAACGUUGGGCACUAGGUGUGGGGGGCCUUUUCCGGGUCUUCCGCGCCGUAGCUAACGCAUUAAGUGCCCCGCCUGG